rnacentral:sRNA from 1 species
ACCGUGUUAGCCAGGAUGGUCUCAAACUCCUGAUCUUGUGAUCUGCCCGCCUCAGCCUCCCAAAGUGCCGGGAUUACAGGUGUGAGCCACCGCGCGUGGCUGGUUCAUGCAAUUCUUGUGCCUAGCCUCCCAAGUAGCAGAGAUAACAGGUGUGUACAACCACCCCCAGCUAAUUUUUGUAUUUUUAGUACAGAUGGGGUUUUACCAUGUUGGCCAGCUUGGUCUCAAAGUCUUGACCUCAGGUGAUUUACCCACCUCCGCCUCCCAAAGUGCUGGGAUUAUAGGCGUGAGCCACCACAUCCAGCCCUGAAUUUUCAUUUCUCUUUCCUCUCAGUGAAAAUUGCUACCAAGGCCAAUCCAUGGAUUGGGAACUCCCUGAAGCCUGACAGUGUCCGAUCCCAGCUGGAGACGUCACUAAAGCGGCUGCAGUGUCCCCGAGUGGACCUCUUCUAUCUACAUGCACCUGACCACAGCACCCCGGUGGAAGAGACACUGCGUGCCUGCCACCAGCUGCACCAGGAGGGCAAGUUCGUGGAGCUUGGCCU